GGGGUAUUGCCGUUAAAAUUAUGUCGUAAUCUCGUCGGAUUGAAGAUCCAUUCAUCUGCGUCCAAAAUUGUCUUCCUAGUUUCGUUCAGAGACUCGAGAAGUGGAUUCGCAGCUCCAGGUAAGAAUACGAUAUUAGGGUUAACGUGUAUUAAUUUGUAUUUUCUCGUUUGGUGGUUUAUAUUCUGUUAGUAAUAAAAUGAAAUUACUGUUAAAGAUUGAUAUGGAUCGCAGAAUUUGCGUUUGUAGCUUUGAUUGCUGUUUCAUGUUCGUAAUAAUUAGGGUAAGGAUAUGAUAUAGAACAAUGGAGUUGUGGGAUUGUCCCUUUAGAUUUUUAGGGAUUAAUAAAAGAAUUAUCAGGCAUAAAGAGAUGUAUUAAUUGAGAAAGGCUAUAAAUUUAUCAAGGGAAGGUGAUUUUUCUACAAUUUUUCUCCUUGGCAGUCUUUCUUGAUUGGGCUAAGAUGUCGGCUUUUGAUAAUGUUGUUGGUGGGAAGCUGAAACUUAAGGGAAAAGCCUUGAAUGUAAAGCCUGGUGGAAUGAAGAGGAAAAAGAAACAUAAGAAACACAAUGAUCAAGUUUCUCAAGUCUUGGAAAACGAGCUUUCUGCAGGUCUGCUAUCCUCCUUUGCUUGGUCUAAUUUAAUUUGGUCUGGCACUUCAAAUUCAUUUCUUCAAUAUUUGCUCUUUACUUCAAUUACUGUAUAAAGCAUGCUCAGAGAUCUUGAGUGUUAUAUUCGGCAGCCGCCAAUGUUCUUAAUGUCAUGUUAGUCUCUAAAGCCAGGGAACAAAACCACCGCCAUGAAAUUUGUCCCUUGUGAGCUUGACUCUAGGCGUAAAGAGAUGGAAGGGAAGAAGAGGGAAAACUGUUGGUGUCUCAAUUAACACUUACACUCCGUUUGAACGCACAUACAUUGCUGCUUCAUAGCACUUGGUGCCAUAGAAAUCCGUUGAACUCACUACUGCUAAGUGGCAGCGGCUUUAUUUCUUAGUCAGUUCAUCUAGCCUUAUGAAAGAAAGUGAUGAUAAAGUCUAAAAUUUUAGUAACAAAUUCUGACCAAUUUGCUGCCAAUUUCUGUUAUUGCCAUGAUUAGAGGCAAAUUUUUGGUUUAACCCGUUGGUGAAAGAGGCUUAUUUUUGGUCUUCCUCUUUCUAAAACUUGAUUUCUGGUUGUAAAUUUUUUUCCUGGAUUUGAAUAAAAAUUACUGAGAAUGGUCAAGCAGAUGAUAUUUUCCUCGUUACAAUCUUCUUUUCCUCCUCUCUAUAGAAUCGCCAUUCAUUUUGGUAUAUGGUGCAGGCCAAAACACAGAAGAUUUAACUGUCAAUGGUGAGGAUGU
rnacentral:misc_RNA from 1 species